AAAUAAGAAGCAAAUAGUUGCAUUUAGUUUCGACCUAAAAAUUUGAUUUUAUUAAUCCUUAUUU
rnacentral:tRNA from 1 species